GCCAUUCUCACCGAUUCCAGGGGAGUUCCAUGUCCCCUCUCUUAUAUUAAAACUGGUGUGUCUAACUAGCACCUCGACUCGUUCUCUUACGACUAUAUGCGUUGAGUCGUCAUGGCUUUUAUAUCAGCCAAUGUUGCCUUCUACGGCAAGAAAAUGCGUAUACACCUGGCGCAUUCUUAAAGUUCUACACAGAUUGGUACUAUUCUACGUAUUCACGUACGAAUUAAUUCGGGCAUUGUACGACACAGUUUAUGAAACUCGUUAAGCCAGGGGGUGGUGGUGGGGUGGUGGUGGUAGGUUAUAGGUAGGAAAAGUGCUUUAAUUAGUAUUUUGCUAACACACUCGUGUAUUAUAAAACAUGUGGUUUGAAAACUAGUUUUCAGUUUAAUUACGAAAAUUGAAAAAUAGCCGCCGACACUAGAUUGCUUCACUCACCCGUAAUACGUAUUGCAAUGUCGUUCAUCCAUUGCGCUCUUUCUUGCUUGGUCAACCAGCGGUAGACUCCUUAUGCAGCUGAUAUCUCGGGUGCUGUCUCGGCUGCUGUUCCUUGCUUUGUCGUGAAUGUAAUGUGCUGUUCCUCGAUCGUGUCGUCGUGAUCGUAUUCUGCUCUUCUUCCAUCGCAUCGUCGAUAUCCAGGUCGUACUAGAUAAGUUCUGGCUUAUAUGUGUUUUAGCGGCAACAUAAUUGUUCGUAGGCAUUUUCACACACAAUGCUCGUCUAGCGAAAACGGCAACACUUCAUUCCCACG